rnacentral:misc_RNA from 1 species
GUAGUGAUAACAGCUCCAAUCAUAGACGAUGCUAGAAUGGUAAACACAAAUUCCGAACAGUUCUGUAGAAAAGUCAUGAUAACAUCUCCCUUUUCGAUCCCUACCAUUGUCAAACCAGCAGCAAUUUUCUGGCAGAUGAGAUACGUUUCGCCAAACGUGAAUGUUUCUCCACUACUUCCCGCGAUAAUACAUGUCCUCUCCUCAAACUCCGAUAGCCUUUCGAACAAGUAAACAUGGAGCGGUAUGUUAUUGGAAAUUGAUAUAUCUGGUAAUUUCGAUCUAAAUACAUGUAGCUCUUCCGAAGAUUGAUUUUGAUUCGUAGAAAUCACAGAAGACAAUAUCUCUGCUUUUUGGGCAUCCACAGUAGCUACACUCACCAUUUCCGGUUAUGAG